GAAACACCAGGCUGCAUUGAUGGAGAGAGAAACAGCUAACAUUUCAGGUUGAAGACUCUUCAUCAGAAUGGAUAAAGAUUGUUUACAGGAAUCAAUCCAGUGAAUCCAUGCUGAACUGACCCCAAGCAAGUAUAUCCACUCAAUAAGAUGCUUGCCUGCUAGCAGAGCAUAUUGGAAAUUCAGACAGAUGGUCCAGAAGAUUUAUAUUCAGCAAUAUGACAAAGGAAAAUAAAACAUUAUGGUGUCACGGUAUGAAUAAAAGUAGUUUUGGUGUAUAACUAUAUGUUGAGAAAUGAAGGAUAUAUCAACAAUGGUAUAUUGCAUCGGCCCAACUUUGUGAUGGUAUUAUAAUUUAAUGUAUAGGGCAAGGGAAUCUCACUGCAGAAGCAUCAAGCAUAAAUUUGAUUGAGUCAGAGCAUGCUGAAGAAACAUUCACCUCUGAGCAGCAUCCAAGUCUCACAAACAAUGAUGGAAUUAACAUGAAAAUCAGAACCCAUCCUAAAUUUCAUGAUUAUUGCCUUCACAUUCACCUUUAAGAAAGUAUGCCACUGCAGAUAUUUAAAAUGCAUAAAUUGAUUACACCUAUUUGUCAUGGAGUGAGACUAUUAUUUUUUGUAGAGUCAUUUGGUCUUAUUGUGAUACUUCAGGUGAUGCAGAAAAUAUUAAAUUAUUAUGACAUACUAGAAACCUGCUACAUUCUGCAUUACCCUUGUACGUUGUUCAAGAAGUACUGAAUUAUUAUCUUUUAUCUAUUUGUUAUUGUGAAAUGUGAUUGUUAUUGUCUGUUAGACAUUUAAGGUCUAUAUCAUCUGACUAAUGGCUCUGUGGAUUGCAACAAUGUUUUGUAGAAGUUCCACAGUCAGCCCUUGAAAUAAACACCCACACUGGUAUUUUGAA